GACGAACGCUGGCGGCGUGCUUAACACAUGCAAGUCGAACGGGAUUUAGUAGACAGAAGCCUCGGCUAAAGAUUACUAAUGAGAGUGGCGAACGGGUGAGUAACGCGUGAGCAACCUGCCUAUGACAGUGGGAUAGCCUCGGGAAACCGGGAUUAAUACCGCAUAAAAUCGUAGAAACACAUGUUUCAACGGUCAAAGAUUUAUCGGUCAUAGAUGGGCUCGCGUCUGAUUAGCUAGUUGGUGAGAUAACAGCCCACCAAGGCGACGAUCAGUGGCCGGUCUGAGAGGAUGAACGGCCACAUUGGAACUGAGACACGGUCCAAACUCCUACGGGAAGCAGCAGUGGGGAAUAUUGCACAAUGGGGGAAACCCUGAUGCAGCGACGCCGCGUGAACGAAGAAGGUAUUCGUAUCGUAAAGUUCUGUCCUAUGGGAAGAUAAUGACAGUACCAUAGAAGAAAGCUCCGGCUAAAUACGUG
rnacentral:rRNA from 1 species